AAGCGCUCGGCCUAGGUGAGGUAAGGGAGCCAGCGAGUUGGGCAUUGCCCUUUCUGUCUUCCUUGGUUCCUCAGCCCAAGCUUGUCCCGAAGGCCUCAAUCAACAAAAGGACCCUGGGCAAGAGCCACUCCAGCAUCUUUGGCUACGCCGCUCGUCUCUGGCACAGGAAGGAGCCCCAGUGGAACAUGGAGAUCCCAACCUAGGGAUUCCGGGGUACGGCUGCCGCGUGUCCCCGCCUGCUGACUCACAAAGCCCGGGGUGCCAGGAGGAGCGCCAGAUCAUCUGAAGUAAUGGGGAACGUUUAUUCUGGAGAAGAUUAAAAGCAUGAAGGAAAAGAUGGCCAUCUUCAAUAUUUGAAUGGCUGUUCAUUUGAGGGUCUGACGCUGGUGACGUUAAGGUACCGAGCUGGAAAAGAUGAGUAGAAGUUGCAAAAAAAGUAAAUUUUGAUCCCUAACAGAGAAAAAAAUAUUUUCUAACAGUGAGAAUCAUCUCAAGAGUCUCGUGGGCUUCCUGUGAGUUAGGGAAUUGACUCAAUCUUUGUACAAAGCCUGGAUGACUAUUUCUCAGUUGUACUUUGGAGAUCAUUUUUUCAACUACUUUUGAGGUCCUUCCCAACUUUGAACUCUGUGACUUGUAGUUACUUGUGUAAUCCGUAUAUCCAUAAUAUGAGGUAGCUAUAAAGGCCCUACUCAGUUUUAUGAUACCAUGACUCAAUAAUAAACAAAGAAUUACAUUUAUUUAUUUUAAAAAC
rnacentral:lncRNA from 1 species